UGGGGAAUAUUGCACAAUGGGCGCAAGCCUGAUGCAGCAACGCCGCGUGAGGGACGACGGCCUUCGGGUUGUAAACCUCUUUUAGUAGGGAAGAAGCGAAAGUGACGGUACCUGCAGAAAAAGCACCGGCUAACUACGUGCCAGCAGCCGCGGUAAUACGUAGGGUGCGAGCGUUGUCCGGAAUUAUUGGGCGUAAAGAGCUCGUAGGCGGUCUGUCGCGUCUGCUGUGAAAACCCGAGGCUCAACCUCGGGCCUGCAGUGGGUACGGGCAGACUAGAGUGCGGUAGGGGAGAAUGGAAUUCCUGGUGUAGCGGUGGAAUGCGCAGAUAUCAGGAGGAACACCGAUGGCGAAGGCAGUUCUCUGGGCCGUAACUGACGCUGGGGAGCGAAAGCGUGGGGAGCGAACAGGAUUAGAUGACCCUGGUAGUCCACGCCGUAAACGUUGGGCGCUAGAUGUGGGGACCAUUCCACGGUUUCCGUGUCGCAGCUAACGCAUUAAGCGCCCCGCUGGGGAGUACGGCCGCAAGGCU
rnacentral:rRNA from 1 species